UUUCCCACUGGCAUACAGAAUUGUUGAAGCGCUUGGAUUUGUCUUCAUCUCAGCAAUAAUCUUUUAUAACAUUUUCUAUUAUCUACAUCCUGAAAGUCAACUCCGAAGGUCGUUUCUGGCAAACCAACGACAUCGCAACUUUUUCCUGGUUUAUGGAUUGAUAGAAAUAAUGAUUUCAGCCAUACCGAUUUACAGAGGGCAACAGGACAUUCACCUGUGCCAGUUAUCCACAAGUUCCAUUCCAGGAACAGUUGCUAUCGCAGUGGUGAUUAUUAUUUUUACAUUGGGAUUAGCAUUCACUACACUGGUGAAAUUCAUGAUGACAUGGACUAGAUUUCGAAGAUUGAGCCAUUUGUCAUCAAGAUGAAAGUUUCCGCAGCGACAGCACUGGGUCUACACCAGAACAUUAAUGCAAGGGAGCAGGGAGCCUGCGUGUGUCUGCACACACGUGUGUAUCACCAUUUCCUCACCCGUCUCCCGGCAAUGUGGAGUGCCUGACCACUAGCUGUACAGAGAGACAGCCUCAAUUGCUUGGGACUGGUACAACCUUAAGAUAAUAAAAUGUUCACAUGUUUUGAUUCAUCUCGCA